AUAUCUAUGGACGCUAACAAGUAUUCACGUCGUAUCAUGCUCAACUCUUAAUACUCUUUUACGCACUUUGAGAGUGUUUGCGUUAUUUCAGAGAGAUAUUUAAGCACAUAUGAAGUAACAGUGCCAUCUGUGUACUAUAGCUACACAAUGCAGCAUUUAGCUCGCUCGUAAACAUCGCUGCUGUCCUCAGAUCAUUGUCUGAGCAGAAGUUUCAUCAUUAGCCCUGACUGUCAGAUGCUCUUCAUCUCAGGAGCUGUAUUUUUAGAUGCUCGAUAACAGAUAUAAGGUGAGUUAAUAGAACACAGCCAGGAACUCUUCUGCGCGAGUCAGCGUGACGUGCGUGCGCGGGCUCAUCAUUUGAAUUAAAUAACGGAUACAAGCAACGGGCGGAACGGUAAUCAAAGAUGGUCUCCUCGCCAGAGAAGCUUGCUAUUUCUUUCGCUGGAAUCUCCAAUUGAAAACAUCAUCGUGUGCGCUUAGACUUCUGUUCCAGUUCUGACUACACACCACUCUGCUUAUGUGGAUCACUGACUACUAUGUUCUCUGAAGUGGGGGAAACCGGAGCACCUGGAGGAAACCCACGCAAACUCCACACAGAGACGCCAACUGACCCAGCCAAGGCUCGAACCAACGACCUUCUUGCUGUGAGGCGCCACUGCAGCGCAGAACCUGAAGCAGGUGCAGCCAAACUGCGACACAACAGCCACGGAAUUUACAGGGCCGUGAGAGAUCACCUGUACGGUCUGGCGGUGGCAGACGCAGAGCUGAAAACACUAUCUGAUGCUUUUGUUGUUGUUAAUGUUAAAUUGACCAAUACAUGUUUUGUCAUUACUUUUGUCUGCAAAUAUAAGGCUAAUAAAUAAUAUUUUUUAAACAAAAUGUUGAA
rnacentral:lncRNA from 1 species